GACGAACGCUGGCGGCGUGCUUAACACAUGCAAGUCGAACGGAAAGGCCCUGCUUGCAGGGUACUCGAGUGGCGAACGGGUGAGUAACACGCGGGUGAUCUGCCCUGCACUUCGGGUUAAGCCUGGGCAACUGGGUCUAAUACCGGAUAGGAGACAUUUUUAGUGUGAUGGUUGGAAAGUUUUUUCGGUGUAGGAUGAGCUGGCGGCGUAACGGCUUGUUGGUGGGGUAAUGGCCUACCAAGGCGGCGACGGGUAGCCGGCCUGCGAGGGUGGACGGCCACCUUGAGACCGAGGGGCGGCACAGACACCGACGGGUGGGAGCAGGGGGGAAGAUUGAACAAUGGGCGCAGGCCUGAUGCAGCAGGGCCGCGGGGGGGAAGACGGCCUUCGGGUUGAAAACUCCUUUCGCUAGGGACGAAGCUUUUUGUGACGGUACCUAGAUAAGAAGCACCGGCUAACUACGUG
rnacentral:rRNA from 1 species